rnacentral:rRNA from 1 species
CGCUAGCUACAGGCUUAACACAUGCAAGUCGAGGGGCAUCAGGAAGAAAGCUUGCUUUCUUUGCUGGCGACCGGCGCACGGGUGAGUAACACGUAUCCAACCUGCCCUUUACUCGGGGAUAGCCUUUCGAAAGAAAGAUUAAUACCCGAUAGCAUAAUGAUUCCGCAUGGUUUCAUUAUUAAAGGAUUCCGGUAAAGGAUGGGGAUGCGUUCCAUUAGGUUGUUGGUGAGGUAACGGCCCACCAAGCCUUCGAUGGAUAGGGGUUCUGAGAGGAAGGUCCCCCACAUUGGAACUGAGACACGGUCCAAACUCCUACGGGAGGCAGCAGUGAGGAAUAUUGGUCAAUGGGCGCUAGCCUGAACCAGCCAAGUAGCGUGAAGGAUGAAGGCUCUAUGGGUCGUAAACUUCUUUUAUAUAAGAAUAAAGUGCAGUAUGUAUACUGUUUUGUAUGUAUUAUAUGAAUAAGGAUCGGCUAACUCCGUGCCAGCAGCCGCGGUAAUACGGAGGAUCCGAGCGUUAUCCGGAUUUAUUGGGUUUAAAGGGAGCGUAGGUGGACUGGUAAGUCAGUUGUGAAAGUUUGCGGCUCAACCGUAAAAUUGCAGUUGAUACUGUCAGUCUUGAGUACAGUAGAGGUGGGCGGAAUUCGUGGUGUAGCGGUGAAAUGCUUAGAUAUCACGAAGAACUCCGAUUGCGAAGGCAGCUCACUGGACUGCAACUGACACUGAUGCUCGAAAGUGUGGGUAUCAAACAGGAUUAGAUACCCUGGUAGUCCACACAGUAAACGAUGAAUACUCGCUGUUUGCGAUAUACAGUAAGCGGCCAAGCGAAAGCAUUAAGUAUUCCACCUGGGGAGUACGCCGGCAACGGCGAAACUCAAAGGAAUUGACGGGGGCCCGCACGAGCGGAGGAACAUGUGGUUUAAUUCGAUGAUACGCGAGGAACCUUACCCGGGCUUAAAUUGCAGUGGAAUGAUGUGGAAACAUGUCAGUGAGCAAUCACCGCUGUGAAGGUGCUGCAUGGUUGUCGUCAGCUCGUGCCGUGAGGUGUCGGCUUAAGUGCCAUAACGAGCGCAACCCUUAUCUUCAGUUACUAACAGGUCAUGCUGAGGACUCUGGAGAGACUGCCGUCGUAAGAUGUGAGGAAGGUGGGGAUGACGUCAAAUCAGCACGGCCCUUACGUCCGGGGCUACACACGUGUUACAAUGGGGGGUACAGAAGGCAGCUAGCGGGUGACCGUAUGCUAAUCCCAAAAUCCUCUCUCAGUUCGGAUCGAAGUCUGCAACCCGACUUCGUGAAGCUGGAUUCGCUAGUAAUCGCGCAUCAGCCACGGCGCGGUGAAUACGUUCCCGGGCCUUGUACACACCGCCCGUCAAGCCAUGGGAGCCGGGGGUACCUGAAGUACGUAACCGCAAGGAUCGUCCUAGGGUAAAACUGGUGACUGGGGCUAA